AGAGUUUGAUCAUGGCUCAGAUUGAACGCUGGCGGUAGGCCUAACACAUGCAAGUCGAACGCGAAAGUCCUUCGGGAUGAGUAGAGUGGCGACGGGUGAGUAACGCGUAGGAAUCUAUCCUGUAGUGGGGGAUAACGUUUCGAAAGGAACGCUAAUACCGCAUACGCCCACGGGGGAAAGCGGGGGAUCUUCGGACCUCGUGCUAUAGGAGGAGCCUGCGUCGGAUUAGCUAGUUGGUGAGGUAAAGGCUCACCAAGGCGACGAUCCGUAGCUGGUCUGAGAGGAUGAUCAGCCACACCGGAACUGAGACACGGUCCGGACUCCUACGGGAGGCAGCAGUGGGGAAUAUUGCGCAAUGGGCGAAAGCCUGACGCAGCCAUACCGCGUGUGUGAAGAAGGCCUUCGGGUUGUAAAGCACUUUCAGUGGGGAGGAAAAGCGGGUGGCUAAUAUCCACCGGCCGCGACGCUACCCACAGAAGAAGCACCGGCUAAUUCCGUG
rnacentral:rRNA from 1 species